GACUGUUAACAACUUAAAGAGUUCUGCUUUCCUAGCUGUGGCCGGGAAAGGAACAUUCCUAUGGCGUAGUUCUGCUGCCAAUUUAAGAAAGGUCCAAGAUCCCAGAGAACCAGGGGUAGCGAUUAUGAGAGAUACAGCUGGUGACAUAGGUCUAAUGGGUGUAUUGGGCCCGGGGGGAGAGCCCUGGAGAGACAAGUUGUCUUCAUGGAGUGAUUCUUGCGACAUCCUAUGAAGAGAUUAGUAAAUACAAAAC